GACGAACGCUGGCGGCGUUCUUAACACAUGCAAGUCGAACGGAAAGGCCCUGCUUUUGUUGGGUGCUCGAGUGGCGAACGGGUGAGUAACACGUGAGUAACCUGCCCUUGACUUUGGGAUAACUUCAGGAAACUGGGGCUAAUACCGGAUAGGAGCUCCUGCUGCCUGGUGGGUGUUGGAAAGUUUCGUCGGUUGGGGAUGGACUCGCGGCUUAUCAGCUUGUUGGUGGGUUAGUGGCUUACCAAGGCUUUGACGGGUAGCCGGCCUGAGAGGGUGACCGGCCACAUUGGGACUGAGAUACGGCCCAGACUCCUACGGGAGGCAGCAGUGGGGAAUAUUGCACAAUGGGCGGAAGCCUGAUGCAGCAACGCCGCGUGCGGGAUGACGGCCUUCGGGUUGUAAACCGCUUUCGCCUGUGACGAAGCGUGAGUGACGGUAAUGGGUAAAGAAGCACCGGCUAACUACGUG
rnacentral:rRNA from 1 species